rnacentral:miRNA from 13 species
AAAAUAACACUCAAAUGUUUAGGGGGUCAAACUGUACGUUAUAUGUGUAAAUGAAGAAAUUCAUAAGCGUAUAGCUUUUCCCCUUAAAAGUUGAAGUGAUAGCA